AUGGCGUCGGACGGGGGAGACGAGGGACAUCGUCGUCCGCCGCCUCUUGGCCUCCGAGGCCUGACUCGCGAUGCCUUCCUUCCUCGUUCCGGCGAUGGCGGCGGCCUUCCUCCACUUCGUACUCGUCAUGGCGGCGGCCUUCCUCCACUCGGUCUUGCAGGUCGAGGACCACUGCCGUCGUUCUCCAUUGGGACGGCUGCCUCUACACCGGUGUCCAGCCCCAGCGUCGGAGGGAGACGCCGCGUCGGUCUGUCGCGCCCACCUCGACCUCCUUCUCCAAAUCAGGCAGGCUCGUCGAACUGGGCCACCUCGCCGGGCGGGAGCGGCAGUGCAAGCGCCGCCGGAAGGACGUCCUCCUACGUCGGCUUGAACAUCAUGAACGGCUCCAUCUGCGUCGGACCAAAUUCGUCUGUAUUCUGCACGAGAGACCGUACCAGUGAGUUUGCUGCAUCUACUAACGGCAGAGAAGGCGGCUGGCGUGGCGCUGGAUAUAAUCCAAAUUUUGAGAACGCUGACGAGUAUCCUCCACGCCCGGAACAUGUAGAAGCACCUUCUGCAAAAGAGAUUGAUUUGAAUGCUUUGGCUAACAAGAAUAACAGAGAACAGUACACUGUCGAAGACAAGCGUAAUAUUUACGCUAUGCUGCUUGCUCGAAAUGGAGAGCGUGGAAGGUUAAAGAAGGGGGUUUUGGAUUCUGUUGUACGUGAUGGAAAUUGUUCUCGGAGGUGCGUGAGUAGGAUUUGGAAAGAAACGAAGUCAGGAGGUGUCAUUAACUCUAUCAAGAACAAUUUGAAGUUAAAAACGGGAAGGAAGAAAAUGAGUUUGGAUAUUGAGGCAUUAGAAGCCAUUCCACCUGGUGAGAGGACCACAAUUCGACAAGUUGCUGCUGGACUUAACAUGUCCAAAAGCACAGUUCACCGUAGGUUGAAGGAGAAGGUAAUGAGACGAGUUUCAAAAGAACUGAAACCUUCAUUAACUGAAGCCAACAAGAAGGCACGUGUGGCGUAUUGCCUUGAGAAUUUGGAGCCAAGUUCAUUGGAGGACAAUCCCACUUUUAAAGCUAGUUUUAACAAGGUUCAUUUGGAUGAGAAGAUCUUCUACCGUACAAGGAAGACACAGAAAAUGUACUUGAGUCAUAGAGAGGAAGCACCAAAAAGAGAAUGCAAACAUAAAAACCACAUCCAGCAGAUCAUGUUCUUGUCGGCUAUGGCAAGGCCAAGGUAUGAUUCUCAAGGAAAUUGUGUGUUUGAUGGAAAAAUAGGUGUGUGGGCAUUUGUUGAUUGGGUGCCAGCUCAAAAGAAGAGUGCUAACAGAGGGAGAGGAGAAUGGGAGCUCAAGCCUUCAUCUUCGGUGGACAGGAACAAAAGUAGGGAGUACAUUGUGCAGUAUGUACUGCCUGCUAUAAAGGAAAAGUGGCUUGAGAGUGAUAGAUGGAACACCGUGUACAUUCAGCAAGACAAUGCAAGAACUCAUGUUUUAGCAAAUGAUCCCAUUUUUGCAAUGGAAGCGGCAAAGGGAGGUUGGGAUAUCAGAAUUGUAAAUCAACCACCAAAUUCACCUGACUGUAACAUACUUGAUCAAGCUUGUAUGAGGGAAAUUAUUAAGCACAAGGGGUCGAUGCACUAUGAUACACCUCACAUGAAGAAAAAAACAUUAGAGGCUAGGUCUACUGUCGGUCCGUCUGACGGUUGA
rnacentral:rRNA from 1 species